AUGUACCACUCGUACACUGCGGUUCUGAGCGCGCCGUCCGCACCCACCUGACGACCGCUCGCUACGUUUUGUGAGCC
rnacentral:sRNA from 1 species